rnacentral:rRNA from 1 species
AUGAAAGAUGGUUGCUGGUUUUGGAGCCCCUCAGCAGCGUUGCCUCAUGAGUACUUCAGAAUCGCGACCCAAGAGGAGCGGAGAUGUGCUCCGGUAGACAAUCCACACGGACACGGUGCCGUUCGUGGCAACGCCUGGUCAGAGGCUCACAACACAGUUUUGCUGCUAUGGCUUUUUUUUGGACCUUGGCUUGGUGGAGAUGUCUUCUUCUCCUUUCCAACGGACGCUCUAGCGACGGCGGUGGCUGAAGAUUAUAGUCGUUUUGUUGGUGGAUGCAAGGACGAGGAAGAUUUUUUCAAUAAAUUUUCUUUGCUUCUAGCAAUUUCUCUUGGUGGGUUGUCUCUUUAG